UAAGGAAUAUUGGACAAUGGGCGCAAGCCUGAUCCAGCCAUGCCGCGUGAAGGAUGAAGGCCCUAUGGGUCGUAAACUUCUUUUAUACGGGACAAAACCCCCCGAUGCGUCGGGGGUUGAUGGUACUGUAAGAAUAAGGGUCGGCUAACUUCGUGCCAGCAGCCGCGGUAAUACGAAGGACCCGAGCGUUAUCCGGAUUUAUUGGGUUUAAAGGGUGCGUAGGCGGACUAGUAAGUCAGUGGUGAAAGCCCAUCGCUUAACGGUGGAACUGCCAUUGAUACUGCUAGUCUUGAGUAUGGUUGAGGUGGGCGGAAUGUGUCAUGUAGCGGUGAAAUGCUUAGAUAUGACCCAGAACACCAAUUGCGAAGGCAGCUCGCUAAGCCAUAACUGACGCUGAGGCACGAAAGCGUGGGGAGCAAACAGGAUUAGAUACCCUGGUAGUCCACGCCCUAAACUAUGAUAACUCGUUGUUGGCGAUACACAGUCAGCGACUAAGCGAAAGCAUUAAGUUAUCCACCUGGGAAGUACGACCGCAAGGUUGA
rnacentral:rRNA from 1 species